CAGUAGCCGCGGGAAUACGUAGGGUGCAAGCGUUAAUCGGAAUUACUGGGCGUAAAGCGUGCGUAGGCGGUUUGUUAAGUCUGUUGUGAAAUCCCCGGGCUCAACCUGGGAAUGGCAAUGGUUACUGGCAAGCUAGAGUGUGUCAGAGGAUGGUGGAAUUCCCGGUGUAGCGGUGAAAUGCGUAGAGAUCGGGAGGAACAUCAGUGGCGAAGGCGGUCAUCUGGGACAACACUGACGCUGAGGCACGAAAGCGUGGGGAGCAAACAGGAUUAGAUACCCCCGUAGUCCCUGUCUCUUAUAC
rnacentral:rRNA from 1 species